CACUGGUCUUCUAAGCAGAUUGAAACAGCUUCAUCUCAUUCCUGAUUCAUCCUGAUCCCCUCAGUGGCUUGCUCUUGUAUUGGAAAUUGGCCCAAAUGGGUUUAAAAUGGUCAGAAGUUGAUCAGUUCAAAUCUUUUCUGACAAGUAAAUAUUAGGUCUGACCAGUUCAAAUCUAUUUUGACCAGUUUAAAGUAAUUCUGUAGAGCUGGAGCCUGAGGUCGGUAAACCCAGGAAGAUGGCUGAAGAUUAUGCUGAUUCGAGCCAAAGCAAGAAAUCAGAAAUGUUCCCUGAAUGAAACUACUGAACUGUUCUGAGGAGCGAAGGAGAAAUUGUUCAUUGAAACACUUUAUAAACCAUAAAGCACAACAUAGAUAUUCUGUUCUUGCCCUACGCCACCCUGGACCUGUGGCCACCAGAAGUCCUGAGAUGUGCACAGAAGAAAGGCUAUAUGAGGAUGCAGUUUGAAGGUGGCCAAGGAAAAAGCAAGGAAAAAACAAGGAAUAACAAGCCAAGAAGAGAUUCCUCACCAGAAACCAACC